GAAGAUUUUUAUUUACUAAACCUAUAUGAAGACACAUUUAACUGGGUGAGUGGAGGGCCCUACGAAUCUGCCAUUAUAUAUCUUUGAAAACAGGUGAUAGGUUAAGGCAAAGGGGUCAUAAAAGAGCAUGAGAGAGGACUUGGGGAUGCACUGAGAACCAUCUGUGUCGGAAAGGCAUGAAAUGUAUAUAACACAUGUUGAAACUGUCAUGUAUAUUUAAAAAGACACAUACUGUAUGGGAGAGAAGAGUCCAGUUUAGAUGUUUGAAACAUAGAUACUAGUCAUGAUUACCAAAUGUGAACUGUAUGUGGAAAAACGGUGAUGAUUAUAUUAGAUCUGUAAAUUAUAAGGGCCAACAAGAAGAGGGGUCUUUAAAUAGGGGUCGUAAAAGAGUAGGAGCUGGGAGAGGCCUGUUGAACCAGUAAACAGCUGUGAAAACACAAAGGUGGGAGGAAGCAAGGAUAAAGGGGAUAGCAAAUUUGAGGGACAUUGGAUUUGUCCUGGAGUGAGACUAGAGAUGGGUCUGCUCCAGGCUGUCUCUGAUUUUUUGGGAAAUAUUCCAAUAAAGUAUAUUCUUCUGAUAUUCAUAACCCCAGUCUGAGCUUGAUUCAGUAAGAUAAAAGCCAGAAACCACAACAAAUGGCGUCCCUGGGUGGGCUGGAAAGGAGCAGGACUGGUGUUGCUGUACAUGCUGGACUGGAGAGAAAACACAAAUAUGUGGCCACAAUAAAAAAUGCGAUAUCUGUACAGGAAACCAGAGAGUAGCAGAAGCAGGAGAUUAUUCCGAUGAUCGAGUAUAUCUGAGGUGCUCUGGAGAAAGUGGAGUGAAGUCAGGAGAAAAGGACCUUAUGACAAGGUUGCCAAAGGGGAUGCCAUCAACUGGGUACCAUCUGAACCACUGCAAAAGGGCGCCAAAGGAGAAAAAUUACAGGAAUAGAAAGCUAAUGGGAAACAGAGGAACCAGAAAAUCCUGAAGCUCAAUGAAGUGCAAAGUGUGGCAGGAGGAGUUUAUCAGAAAAGUUAAAAGAGUGAUUCUGAUAAUAUGCCUGAUUAAGAAAUACAGAAGGUGCCACAAGUUCAAGCGAUGAUAAUCACCACAACUUCAGGCUGCAGACUCUCAACAUAAAGUCUCUAUCAACAUCUUUUCAGGCCAGAAUGAAAGAAAGAAACAAACAAUUCAAUCGCAUAAGGUAAAUCAGACUGUGAUUAAGAAAGCAGAGUGCUAAAUAUUUUGAUAGUUUAGAUAAAGAAGAGGAUGAUGAAGAGGAUCCAUGCCUUGGGUGUAAGUGCUAGACAACCUCUACCCCAAAAUGGCGGCUCUCUACGAUGCGCAAAGUAUCUGGGCUGAAGAUCAACUUAUUGUACUUAUCAUGUGUGUUGUUGGUGGAGUAGAAUAGUGUGUAGUGAACAUGUAUUAUGAUUAUGUAUGGUUAUUCUUUGAUUCUUUGAAAUAACUGUGACCCCCACAAGCAUAUGUAUAACCUGAUGCACGCUCAUGCUUAAAACACUACCUCCUUUUAUAUACAGUAACAGCAAAAUAGAAUCAAGUCUUUUACUGUGUUCUUGUCAAGAUCGGAUGCAGAUGUUUGGCUUGGUUUUAUUCCAAAGUGCGAUUCCAUGAUCUGGUCAUUUGUAAUAAUACAGUGACAUAUAUUUGUCAUUAGGUAGUAGAACUUAGGGCUGACUUAUGAAGUUGCACUAUGGGUAAAGACAAUUAAGGUGUGGCUUUAAUAAGCCACAGAGGAGGGAAAUGAAGAAGAUUUUUAUUUACUAAACCUAUAUGAAGACACAUUUAACUGGGUGAGUGGAGGGCCCUACGAAUCUGCCAUUAUAUAUCUUUGAAAACAGGUGAUAGGUUAAGGCAAAGGGGUCAUAAAAGAGCAUGAGAGAGGACUUGGGGAUGCACUGAGAACCAUCUGUGUCGGAAAGGCAUGAAAUGUAUAUAACAGAUGUUGAAACUGUCAUGUAUAUUUAAAAAGACACAUACUGUAAGGGAGAGAAGAGUCCAGUUUAGAUGUUUGAAACAUAGAUACUAGUCAUGAUUACCAAAUGUGAACUGUAUGUGGAAAAACGGUGAUGAUUAUAUUAGAUCUGUAAAUUAUAAGGGCCAACAAGAAGAGGGGUCUUUAAAUAGGGGUUGUAAAAGAGUAGGAGCUGGGAGAGGCCUGUUGAACCAGUAAACAGCUGUGAAAACACAAAGGUGGGAGGAAGCAAGGAUAAAGGGGAUAGCAAAUUUAAGGGACAUUGGAUUUGUCCUGGAGUGAGACUAGAGAUGGGUCCGCUCCAGGCUGUCUCUGCUUUUUUGGGAAAUAUUCCAAUAAAGUAUAUUCUUCUGA